UACGUAGGAGGCGAGCGUUGUCCGGAAUCACUGGGCGUAAAGCGCGUGUAGGCGGGGGGGCAAGUCUGCUGUGAAAGCGCCUGGCUUAACCGGGCGAGGUCGGCGGAAACUGCUUCCCUGGAGGGCGGUAGAGGGGGGUGGAAUUCCCGGUGUAGUGGUGAAAUGCGUAGAGAUCGGGAGGAACACCUGUGGCGAAGGCGGCCCCCUGGGCCGCACCUGACGCUGAGACGCGAAGGCGUGGGGAGCGAACGGG
rnacentral:rRNA from 1 species